UGGCAAAAAGCACUGUUGGUGUUUAUGAUUUCGGCUCGUAAGGAGGAUAAAAAUUUCCUUUGCUUU
rnacentral:tRNA from 1 species